GAUGAACGCUGGCGGCGUGCCUAAUACAUGCAAGUCGAGCGAACAGACGAGGAGCUUGCUCCUCUGACGUUAGCGGCGGACGGGUGAGUAACACGUGGAUAACCUACCUAUAAGACUGGGAUAACUUCGGGAAACCGGAGCUAAUACCGGAUAAUAUAUUGAACCGCAUGGUUCAAUAGUGAAAGACGGUUUUGCUGUCACUUAUAGCUGGAUCCGCGCCGCAUUAGCUAGUUGGUAAGGUAACGGCUUACCAAGGCGACGAUGCGUAGCCGACCUGAGAGGGUGGUCGGCCACACUGGAACUGAGACACGGUCCAGACUCCUACGGGAGGCAGCAGUAGGGAAUCUGCCGCAAUGGUCGAAAGCCUGACGGAGCAACGCCGCGUGAGUGAUGAAGGUCUUCGGAUCGUAAAACUCUGUUAUUAGGGAAGAACAAAUGUGUAAGUAACUAUGCACGUCUUGACGGUACCUAAUCAGAAAGCCACGGCUAACUACGUG
rnacentral:rRNA from 1 species